UUCCAAUAAUACUCCAAUGUUAUUUCUCUUACUUCUUUUGAUCAUCACAUUUUUCUUCACGUUUCAAUGCACUGCUCAACAUGUUUCAGGAAGAGAUAGUGCAGUCCCUAUGAUUAGUAGUGAAGCAGGAAGCCUGCCCCCAAUAUACGCCCGCCGGUUGAAGGGUUGGGGGACGGUUACGAAUCCUCCAAAUCAUCCAGCAGGACCACCAGAAGCACCUGGUACUGCCUGAGCACUACCAAGUAGAUCGAUUACAUGUAGCUGUGCCUUUAAAAAUAAAAACCGAUUACAUGGCAGUUCAAUUGGUUACAGGAAUGAAGUUUGAGAGCAAAUGUCUAGCAUCUAUGUUUAAGGAAGUCCUUGGGGUUGGGGAUUAAACUUUUGAGAGAAAAUAAUAAUAAUAAUAAAAUUUCAAUUUGAUUGCACUUGAAAUAAUGUAUUCUUGCCCUUUUGAGAGCAACAAAAUAAAAAAUAAAAAUAAAAUUUUAAUUUGAUUGCACUUGAA